UGGGGAAUAUUGCACAAUGGGCGAAAGCCUGAUGCAGCAACGCCGCGUGAGUGAUGAAGGUCUUCGGAUUGUAAAGCUCUGUCUUUUGGGACGAUAAUGACGGUACCAAAGGAGGAAGCCACGGCUAACUACGUGCCAGCAGCCGCGGUAAUACGUAGGUGGCGAGCGUUGUCCGGAUUUACUGGGCGUAAAGGGUGCGUAGGCGGAUGUUUAAGUGAGAUGUGAAAUACCCGGGCUUAACUUGGGUGCUGCAUUUCAAACUGGAUAUCUAGAGUGCAGGAGAGGAGAAUGGAAUUCCUAGUGUAGCGGUGAAAUGCGUAGAGAUUAGGAAGAACACCAGUGGCGAAGGCGAUUCUCUGGACUGUAACUGACGCUGAGGCACGAAAGCGUGGGUAGCAAAC
rnacentral:rRNA from 1 species